rnacentral:lncRNA from 1 species
AGUACGGUCAACAUUAGCAAAUCAGUACUAGGAAAUAGCCUGUCCACUUCCUUCCAUUUCCUUCCAACCCUGGGAACUCUCUCCAUUAAAAACAUUUCUCCACCACAUCCAUGUUUUAGACUUCUCAUUGUAUCAGCCCAAAGGAAACACUCAGCUCUCCAUUUCCAACCACAUACCAUGAAGCGAUUUCCUUCUAAGGGAGGAAAGUCACUCUUUCCAGUUUACAGCUUAAUUGCUUGGCAUCAAUCAAGAAACCCUAGUCACAUCCUGGGAAUGCUGGGACCUUCUGAAAGCAGCCUGGAAGAUCAGAAGCCUUUCCAGCUGCCCCCUAGACUCAGCAUGAUUAAAAGGUACGGGAAGACCCCCAGAUCGAAGAUGUGGAGAAAAACACCAAGAAGGAAGUCAGACGUAACCAACAAGGAGGAGAAGAUACUAUCUCUGUCUUCCAAGGCUGUUUGCUAAAAAGUAUCUUUGAAAAGAUAACCUACAACAAAAAGUCAGUGUUCCUGCUCAGGAGAUGUGCGGAAAUAUGAGAGAACCAUGGAGAAUUGCCUGUCAAGAGCAUGUGGUAAGAACUGUUAUUAUUCCUAUGGAAAAAUGAACUCAUACUACAUAACUUUCUUCUGGUGACUUUAAAAUUGAUAGAAAUUAGAGCAAAUCAGGACAUGGACUAAGGUUACAAAGACUAAUGGCAAGUCAAGGAAUUUGAGUUAACAUUAGGUGACUAGACUCUCAAAUGUGUUUCACAAGUGGGUUUCCAGAAAAACUGCUGUCAGCAAUUGAUUAUGAGAUUGGGC